UUCGACGCCCCAGACCAACAGCCAGUGCCAGGCUGACAGCCCUAUAGUAAACGACGGGGAUUCAAGUCUUGCCACGGAGCUACAGGGAGAGUUGGAGGAAAAUUCUAGCCCGGCUGUGGAUGAGAGUAUAGUUUCAGCCAAAAAACAGGGACCAAGCACACACAAUUGGAGCGGCGACUGGAGCUUUUGGAUCUCGAGCUCCACCUACAAAGACAGGAACGAGGAAUACAGGCAGCAGUUCACACACCUGCCCGACUCCGAAAAGCUGAUAGCAGAUUACGCUUGCGCUCUUCAGAGGGAUAUCUUGCUUCAGGGGAGGCUGUACCUUUCAGAAAACUGGCUGUGUUUCUAUAGCAACAUCUUCAGAUGGGAAACCACAAUUUCUAUUGCUUUAAAGAAUAUAACCUUUAUGACCAAGGAGAAAACUGCUCGACUCAUCCCAAAUGCUAUCCAGAUCAUCACAGAGGGGGAAAAGUUUUUCUUCACGUCUUUUGGUGCCAGAGACAGAAGUUACCUGAGCAUAUUUAGGUUGUGGCAGAAUGUAUUGCUAGAUAAGAGCCUGACCAGACAGGAGUUCUGGCAAUUGCUCCAGCAGAACUAUGGCACCGAACUAGGAUUAAACGCUGAAGAAAUGGAACACUUGUCGCUAUCAAUUGAAGAAAACGUGCAGCCAAGAAGUCCAGGAAGAAGCAGCGUGGAUGACUCUGGGGAAAGAGACGAGAAGUUCUCCAAGGCCAUCAGUUUGACACACGAGUCAGUUAGCAGAGCUUCAGAAACAGAGUC
rnacentral:lncRNA from 1 species